UCUCCAAGGUUCAUUAACAAGGUGACACAUCUUUUGGGGGUGCUUGCUUUUGGCGCGUUUUGCUAUUUAUUGGGAGCGAGACCCCAAGAUAUUCCCUAUGUGUAUUGCUUAUUCUAUGUAAUUUUUGUUCCUCUCCAAUGGAUAUACUAUCGGUUCAUGAAAUGGC